rnacentral:rRNA from 1 species
AUUGAACGCUGGCGGCAUGCUUUACACAUGCAAGUCGAACGGCAGCACGGGGGUAACCCUGGUGGCGAGUGGCGAACGGGUGAGUAAUGCAUCGGAACAUAUCUUAAAGUGGGGAAUAACGCAUCGAAAGGUGUGCUAAUACUCCAUAUACUCUAAGGAGGAAAGCGGGGGAUCGAAAGACCUCGUGCUUUAAGGGUGGCCGAUGUCUGAUUAGCUAGUUGGUGGGGUAAAGGCUUACCAAGGCGACGAUCAGUAGCUGGUCUGAGAGGACGAUCAGCCACACGGGAACUGAGACACGGUCCCGACUCCUACGGGGGGCAGCAGUGAGGAAUAUUCGGCAAUGGGGGCAACCCUGACCGAGCAACGCCGCGUGGAGGAUGACGGUUUUCGGAUUGUAAACUCCUUUUCUCAGGGAAGAGCGAGGACGGUACCUGGGGAAUAAGUCACGGCUAACUACGUG